rnacentral:rRNA from 1 species
CCUACGGGUGGCAGCAGUGGGGAAUAUUGUACAAUGGGCGAAAGCCUGAUGCAGCAACGCCGCGUGAAGGAAGAAGGCUUUCGGGUUGUAAACUUCUUUUGUCAGGGACGAAGCAAGUGACGGUACCUGACGAAUAAGCCACGGCUAACUACGUGCCAGCAGCCGCGGUAAUACGUAGGUGGCAAGCGUUAUCCGGAUUUAUUGGGUGUAAAGGGCGUGUAGGCGGGAAUGCAAGUCAGAUGUGAAAACUAUGGGCUCAACCCAUAGCCUGCAUUUGAAACUGUAUUUCUUGAGUGCUGGAGAGGCAAUCGGAAUUCCGGGUGUAGCGGUGAAAUGCGUAGAUAUACGGAGGAACACCAGUGGCGAAGGCGGAUUGCUGGACAGUAACUGACGCUGAGGCGCGAAAGCGUGGGGAGCAAACAGGAUUAGAUACCCCGGUAGUC